AAUUAAAAAAAUCCUUUAAUAUACCUCUCUACCGCACGUGCGGUAGAGGAGGUAUAGGCUGCUAUAUCCUUUUGGUCAUGUUUUCUAUGUAUCUGCUGCUCCGCCCAUAACAGAGCCUAUACCUCUGCUAAUCGCACAAUUUUCAAUGUGCGAUUAGUGCCAUUACUAUGGGCGGGCAGCAGGGGGAGCACUGUUUUUUAAACGUGUGUUAUCCCUCCAUAUUGUGGAUCACAGUGGCAGCGGCAGAACAGGAAGAAGCAGGAGACUGGGCUGAUUGAUCUAACUAGUUAUAAUUGGGAAACUGCAGCCCUUGUCCUGAAUAGAUCCGAACUGCACCCUGGAUGGUUCUGAAGAGGUCCACAUAAGAAUCAUAAACAUUGUAGCCCAAAGUCACAUUGGGCAGGAUGUUGGGGUUACGGUUGAUCUCAUCAAUGGCAAACACUAAACUCAGGAAGUUAUAAAAGUCUUCAGUGAGCAUGCUGGAAAAAAGAAAGGAAAAACUGAUGUUAAAAGACAUCUCAACACUAAACAUCCAUAGCUUUCAAAGUUUCCAUUUUUAUUAUGUCCUACUAUAAAAAUAUAUAUUGCAAUUGAAUUUGAAUAUAGUCAAUGUAAUGUAAACUGUAACGAAGCUUUGAAUAAAAGUAAGUUGUUUUAUA